rnacentral:rRNA from 1 species
AUACGGAGGGUGCGAGCGUUAAUCGGAAUUACUGGGCGUAAAGGGUGCGUAGGCGGCUUGAUAAGUCGGAUGUGAAAGCCCCGGGCUUAACCUGGGAAUUGCAUUCGAUACUGUCAGGCUAGAGUAUGUCAGAGGUUGGCGGAAUUCCUAGUGUAGCGGUGAAAUGCGUAGAUAUCAGGAGGAACACCAGUGGCGAAGGCGGCUAACUGGGGCAAUACUGACGCUGAGGCACGAAAGCGUGGGGAGCAAACAGGAUUAGAUACCCCAGUAGUCC